rnacentral:lncRNA from 1 species
CAAAGAGUAAAUACCAGGAAGUCCAGUUAAACCAGAUGAUCAGAAAAAAGCCUCUUAGGGGAGGUGUUACUGAACUUGAGAUUUAAUUUACAAGAAGGAACUUGUUGCAUCAAGAGCAGGGGAAAGUGCAUUCUAGGCAGAGAAAACAACCAGUGCAAAAGCCUAAGCAGUGGCAAGAAGACAAGCAGGGAAAGAUGUCCUCGAGUUUUGUCAGUAUGCCUGGGUGCCAUCUUUGCUCUUCUCCAAAGACAGAACAACAAUCACUUCACCCUGGGUCAACAGUGGUCAAUCAGCAGAGAUAAAUAUUCCCUGAGAAGUGCAGAGGUGCUGCGGGAGAGCCCCGGCAGGAUCUCAUGGCUGCACUACUCCAUAAAGACUCAGUGUUGUACUUCGGAAACUCAAGCUCUUCGACUGGCACAUGCUAAAGCUGAUAGGUGGAAGGAACCGUAAUCCAAGGGUGCUAAGAGUUCUGCCCACAUCCUGUGCCCUCUCAGCAGUGGCUCUCAAAGGGAAAACUCAAAAUCGACUCAGUGAAGCUGGUGCUUCAGCAGAUUCCAGGCCCAGAGUCCGCCUCGCGUGUAUGCCGCUCACAGUAGCCAUGAUUUGCAUCAAGUAGCAUCAUACCUUGGAUUUGUUUUAGACCAUGGAGCAACCUCAGCUCAUUACCAGCAAGAAAACUGUGACUCUGGUGCCGUGCUUGACCACAGCUGCAGUGGACUUCCAGGCUCCAUUAACUCCGCAGCCCCCAGGACCCUUCCGUGACAGCCUGUGCGGCUACAUCAAGUGGCUCUUCACUGAACUCCUGAGAGCCUAAGGAUCUGUGAAGACAACUGCUCAAGACACAAGUUGUAGACUGUGAGGAGAGGAUGGAACUUCCCCUUAGAAGAGUGAUUGGCAAGACAUCUGACAGAGCAGAAAGGGGAUGGGACGCCUGGGUGGGACGUAGGAGCAGAGUCUGGGGCUUCUUUUGCAUCGUGCCAUAUCUCUGGGUUUUA